CAGUCGCCGCGGUAAUACCGAGGGUGCGAGCGUUAAUCGGAUUUACUGGGCGUAAAGCGUGCGUAGGCGGCUUCUUAAGUCGGAUGUGAAAUCCCUGAGCUUAACUUAGGAAUUGCAUUCGAUACUGGGAAGCUAGAGUAUGGGAGAGGAUGGUAGAAUUCCAGGUGUAGCGGUGAAAUGCGUAGAGAUCUGGAGGAAUACCGAUGGCGAAGGCAGCCAUCUGGCCUAAUACUGACGCUUAGGUACGAAAGCAUGGGGAGCAAACAGGAUUAGAUACCCCAGUAGUCCCUGUCUCUUAUAA
rnacentral:rRNA from 1 species